AUUGAACGCUGGCGGCAGGCCUAACACAUGCAAGUCGAACGAGUGGCGGACGGGUGAGUAAUGUCUGGGAAACUGCCUGCUGGUGGGGGAUAACUACUGGAAACGGUAGCUAAUACCGCAUACCAUCAGAUGUGCCCAGAUGGGAUUAGCUAGUUGGUGGGGUAACGGAUCACCAAGGCAACGAUCCCUAGCUGGUCUGAGAGGAUGACAAGCCACACUGGAACGGAGACACGAUCCAGACUCCUACGGUAGGGAGCAGUGGGGAAUAGUGCACAGUGGGAGCAAGCCGAGUGCAGCCAUGCCGCGUGUAUGAAGAAGGGCUUCGGGUUGUAAAGUAAUUUCAGCGGGGAGGCGUUACUCGCAGAAGAAGCACCGGCUAACUCCGUGCCAGCAGCCGCGGUAAUUC
rnacentral:rRNA from 1 species